rnacentral:rRNA from 1 species
AUGGCCGCGAACACCGGCGAACUGAAGGCGCUGCUUGAGUCCCUCCUCAUCAGGUUCGAUGAGACAAAAGCCACCGACGACAAGCGCCUACGAGCAGAGCUCCGCCAUGAUCCGUGGAAAGAUUUAGAUCCCACUCAGUCGGCUGUGGACGAUGUCCGCAAGGCGCGUGACACCUCGAUGGCCUCCGCAACCUCCCCUGCAGGCUCGCCCGCGUCGGAUCUGGCACGUUCACCUGCGGCAGAGCUACCACUCCACCCUCACCAGGGGUCCACCUCAUAUGCGCGGCUAGCGACUGACUUGCCCCCGCUCCUUCCGACUCGUCCUGCAAUCACCACUCCAGUUCCUAUCUACCACCUGUUCGACCAAAUGCCUGAGAGUGAGUUUCACCUGUGCAUGUGCUCACUGCUCGAGCUGACGCAGAUGGGAACCGUGGCUGAGUACACGGCUAUGUUUUGGGAGCGUCUACACCAUGUGCUGCAUCUCAACCCCAGCCUAACAAGCAAGUGCUUCAUUCACCAGUACAUUGAGGGCUUACACAAGAAUAUUCAAGCAGUCGUGAAGUCGAAAUCGCCGUCUAGUAUCACCAGAGCAUCGUGCCUUGCUCGUAUAAGGGAGGAAGAGAUCAUGAAGGAUGAGGCGAUGGGUGUCGAGGAGCGUGGCGGUAGCUACGACCAUGGGGUACACAGUCACAUGCCUACUGAGGCCAUCAACAUCGUCUCCCCUGAGCUAACUACCAGAGUGAUGUGCAGUGCAGACUGCGGCGUCGACGGCAACAGUUUUGCUGCUGCGACUCCGACCAUGGUGCUCGACACAAACCACAACACCGACAUCAUCGACGAGAAGUACCUUGCUGCUCCGACACCUACGACCCAUUUGACAAAUGGCCUGGGCCAGGUUGUUGACAUGCCAGUCUCAGCGUCCCCAACCACCACUACCCUGAGGUCUUCAGUGGGUCCAGCGGUUGAACUGACGCUCAUUCGGAAUUCUGCGGCACCUACAACAAACUUGUCCACAUCUCUGGCUGCAGAUGUGAACCAUAGUGUCAGUCUCGACACCAUCAGCCAUUAUGUAACAAAGGUUCCCCUUGCCGUGGAGGAUGAUCUCAGGCCUGAUCGUAGGUGUGCGUACGCCUCUGCCUGGAGCUGGAAUGGUGAGAUCAUGGUGGGCGCCAUGCUUUCAAUGCUGCUGUUCGGCGACCACCAAGCCAACGCCCCACCAAAACCACCAUGGUCUUUCCUGGUGCAAGAACAGAUCGGGGGGGNNNNNNNNNNNNNNNNNNNNNNNNNNNNNNNNNNNNNNNNNNNNNNNNNNNNNNNNNNUGCAGUGUUACCGUGUUCACUGUCAAUGAAGGUGGUCGCACCCCAACCAUGGUCGCCACCUCCGCAAGUGGAGCCCUGUGCCCAGGGAGUUGGCCAGCCGUCAUGGCCGCCACCAGAAACAUGCACUGUGUUGUUGUUGUCAGGGAAUGAUUUUAUUAUGCCACUGAUUGAGUUUAAGCCAUGGCCGGAUCCUCGACAUAGUCAAGGUAGUGCAAGGGUGGUGAACAAACUGCAGCAUUAUGGAUUUUGGAUGUCUAACCUGCUUCGGGUAUUACCUUGGAGGAUGGUUGGGGCAAAUAAUCUCUUGAACAAUUACACUGAAAAACAAUAG